UUAAGCCUAGUUGCUUAGUGUUGGGAAUCUGCCCUGUAUUUAUAGGGCAGUUCCUUAAAGUGAUCGGCGGAGUUAGGGCAUACUCUAAGCGUAGUAAUAUUCUUCUCGCUUCUGUAGUUGUCCUGGCGGCUUGCCGUUAAACCCCUAUAUUUCUAGUGGUUGACCUCGGAUUAGGUAGGAAUACCCGCUGAACUUAAGCAUAUCAAUAAGCGGAGGAAAAGAAACCAACAGGGAUUGCCCUAGUAACGGCGAGUGAAGCGGCAACAGCUCAAAUUUGAAAUCUGGCCCUAGCGGUCCGAGUUGUAAUUUGUAGAGGAUGCUUUUGGUUAGGUGCCUUCUGAGUUCCCUGGAACGGGACGCCAGAGAGGGUGAGAGCCCCGUACGGUUGGACACCGAGCCUCUAUAUAGCUCCUUCGACGAGUCGAGUAGUUUGGGAAUGCUGCUCUAAAUGGGAGGUAAAUUUCUUCUAAAGCUAAAUACCGGCCAGAGACCGAUAGCGCACAAGUAGAGUGAUCGAAAGAUGAAAAGUACUUUGAAAAGAGGGUUAAAUAGCACGUGAAAUUGUUGAAAGGGAAGCGUUUGCGACCAGACUUUUUCCAGGCGGAUCAUCCUGUGUUCUCACCGGUGCACUUCGCCUGGUUUAGGCCAGCAUCGGUUCUCUUAGGGGGAUAAAGGCCUGGGGAACGUAGCUCCUUCGGGAGUGUUGUAGCCCCUAGCGUAAUACCCUUCGGGGGACC
rnacentral:rRNA from 1 species